ensembl:snoRNA
UUCCAAAGUGUUGGGUUCAGUUCAAGGCAGCUCCCCUGUUCUGUUAAAUAAACUUUGGGACACGGAAACACAGACUAAGGGAUGUGACUGGAUAGAAAGCAUUACUCUAUUCAUUUACUUCCUAGGCAACCAAA